AGUCUAAGCUCCUUGAGGGCAAGUACUGCAUUUUGUUAUUCACUCUGGCAGAGCACAUAGUGGUUCUCAAAUUGUCUUGCUAUAUCAAUGAAUGGGCUGAUGUUAGCUGAGACUGAGAAGGCAUGAGACAGUGACAAGAAGAUAUGUGAGGAGUUGCUGUAAGAGGCCCUGAAAUGGAGCAAGAGUGAACUGGAUAGGCAGAUGGGAUGCUGCCAGGUCAUCAGACUGAUCACAAUGGUGUCAGGUCAUACCAAAUGGGGUGGCAUAAUUUGGGCAAAGGCCAGCAAUGUACUAGGUGUGGGCUGCACAGAUGUACGGGUCAUCCAGUGAUUUUCCAUCUUGGAAAGGCCAGCCAGCAUUCACAGGACAAAGAUGGGGGGAUUAGGAAUAACUGAGGUCAAGGGAGGGGCAAGGGCUAUAGGAGCGUCUACAUAAAUCAACACUGAGAAUGUAUUCCAUGAAUGAAAGUAACACAAAAGCUGUUGGCAGGCAAGGGUGGAACCCAGCCUAACUUCCAUGGUGUUGUCACAAGCCCAAGAAGAAAAAGGGAACUCUGGUGAAUACUUCUGAAUGACAAAGAUAAAAUGGAAGACCUAUGAUUUGGCUAUUGGGCUAUAAAAAUGGACAGCCAUCACAUGAGGAAACCUAGAAAAAUGAGAUAAUGAGCUUCAGGGCUCAGAAUGGAAAGAACCCCAUAGAAAUCUUUGAUCUUUUCCACCAUGAGUUCUACACUGAUGCAAAGGACAGAAUCAGAACAUACAUUCUCUGAUUUGGAAAGUAUAUAUUUUCCCAUCCAAGUUCAUUGUGAACUGCUGACCAAAAGGGCAGUGUUUUAUACAGAUUCUGUCUAGAACUAGCCCAGUGGGAAAAGCCUCGGAAAGCAUACGGCAAAGAAACUCAGACUCCAGAGUAUGAUUUAGUAACAGAAAGAGUGGUGUGUCUUGUCUUUGUAUGCCCGUAUAAAUAAUCACGAUGGCUGAACUCUGCUAUUUUUCAUCCAACCUAAGUAACAGCUUUGAAAAAGAAAGAUAACAAUGACCUGUGUGUACAGCGUCCAAGGGAACCAUUAGCAGUGGAGCUCCCCAGGCUCCUGGGACGACCAAGCACAUGGUCCAACCAACCAUCUUCUGACAAGAUGGAGUCUCACUCUGUUGUCCAGGCUGGAGUGCAGUGGCGCAUCUUGGCUCACUGCAAGCUCCACCUCCCGGGUUCACGCCAUUCUCCUGCCUCAGCCUCCCAAGUAGCUGCGACUACAGGAAGCUGCCACUACACCCAGCCUCAACUGAAUAGCAGGGAGAUUUUGGCUUUCAUUCCAGAAUGAUGUUUCACAGAAAGUCAACUCUUGUUCCAGGGCACGAGUAAAGAUAUCAACCCAUCUAUCUGUAGAAAAUUGCCAGAAACUGUCACAAAAUAAAAAAUGAGAGAAGGCCUGAAUUACGACAGUCCUGGUGGGGUUCUACAAGGCAGCAUGAGGGAGAGGAGAGAGGACUAUUUUACCAAGAUUUUAAGACUUUCAAACAACCAGGGAAGGCUUCUGUGGACAGGACUAAAGAACCAGAACUGUUCAGAAAGAGAGAAGAGCCCAGCGCCUUAUACUCAGGAGAUACUGAAAAACAUCAUAUAAAGUGUUUACUGUUGAGAGAAAAGUACACAUCAGAGGAUGCCCAUUAUUGAUAUAGAGCCUUCUCUGUAUCUGGAUGAACGUGACCAGGAAGUCACCCUCAGCCUGCUGCAGCUGUUUUCAGAAUCUGUGGGAUCACACCCCAGAGGCAGUUGGGUCAGCCGCAGGCAUCAGGUGAGGAGGAGGAAGAGUGAGACAGCUAUUACAGGCUGCCGGACCAGGUGGCUGUGAAGAGGUGUGGGGCCACCAAGGCUUAUAUAAGGAGGAUGGAGAACGCAGGCCAAAGGGGAGGCUGUAACGCUGACUUCGAUUGGCUAACUUAAUAUAAGGCAGACUGAGGGAGGAGGAGGAGGGCAGGAGAGAACACGCUUUAGAAAGCAUGACGGUGUCUCAUUCUGUUUGCAAGUGAGCAGGUAGGUGCCUUCCAAAUAUGAUCCUGAAGAAGGUGCAGAUAAAUGAAAAAUUGGAUAUACAAU